GAGGCAGUGACAAGAAAUAACAACCCAGGGCUAGUCCNAGGGAUUGUAAUGAGAAAAAUUUAAAAAUCUUAUCGAGUAUCAACUGGAGGGCAAGUUUUGGUGCCAGCAGCCGCGGUAAUUCCAACUCCAGUAGCGUAUAUUAAAGUUGCUGCAGUUAAAAAGCUCGUAGUUGAAAUUCUGCUCCGGUUGAAGUCUUUACCUUCACGGUUUAACUUCGCCGGGCAUCAGUCUGCAAUCUUUUUCACGGCAUUUAUUUGUCGGGCUAGGGAGCAGACGUUUUACCUUGAGAAAAUUAGAGUGUUCCAGGCAGGCUUCAGCCCGAAUACAUUAGCAUGGAAUAAUAGAAUAGGACUAGAGACUAUUUAUUGGUUUGAGGCUCUAGUAAUGAUUAAUAGGAACAGUCGGGGGCAUUAGUACUUAACAGUCAGACUUGGCAAAUGCUUUCGCGGUGAAAUUCUAGGAUUUGUUAAAGACUAACUAAUGCGAAAGCAUUUGUCAAGCAUGUUUUCAUUAAUCAAGAACGAAAGUUAGGGGAUCAAAGACGAUUAGAUACCGUCGUAGUCUUAACUAUAAACUAUACCGACUCGGAAUUGGACAAUUUAAAAUAGAUUGUUCAGCGCCGUAAGAGAAAUCAAAGUCUUUGGGUUCUUGGUGGAGUACGAUCGCAAGAUUGAAAC
rnacentral:rRNA from 1 species